CGGGUCCACCCUCGCCCGGGGUCCGCUCCUCCGUCCGGAUCUCCGCUCCCGACCCCGCCGGCGUUCGCCCCUCACCACCCCGGACCCCGCCGUCCACCUAGUGCGGGUCUCGCCGGGACCCCGCCCCGGGGCCGCCCAGUCGGGGAGCGCUCCGCCCCUUCUGUCCGCUCCGCCCCCGGCCCCGCCCCGGCCCCGCCCUGUCCCGGGGCGGCCGCUGGGCGGUGCCCUCCGCAGACCGGACGCGCUGCGGAGUCACUUCUCCGUGUUAAGCUCGCGGGGUGCCGAGCUGCCCGGAGACCCCCCCCCCCCCAGACGGUUCCGCUUUCCCGAGGGUUGGAGAUGAAAACUUGGAAGGACGUUAAGGACCCAACUUCGUUUACGUGCGUCCUCCUCGUUUUACCUGGGGACACAGGCUUUGCCCGUCACUGAGGGGUCACUGAGGGGUCAGAAUGGCCCGGGGUCGGCUCACUUCCCGCCCUUUCCCGAAGCUGAGUGGGGGGGUGGGGGCGCCCCUCCCCGCCACCCGGGCCUUAGCCCUCCAGGCCCCUGGAAGUCCCGCCCUUCACCACUUCAGAGGGAAAGUUUUUUCUUAAGGCGGUUAAGUAGAUUCUGUGAUCCAAGAAGGUAGACGCGGCAGAAAAUGAAGGGGCGGGGUGUGUUCUCCAAGCUCUCAGAAUCGCAGAAGCAGGUCCCGGUCAUGGAGCAGAAAAAAGUCACAAAAAUGCAACGCCGGAAUCCACGGUGGCUGGUUUGGUACCGUGAACCUCAGCCAGGCUUCGAGGCUUUCCUUCUGUCUGUCCCUGCGCCUCCAGCCCUCACCUGGCCAUCAAAAACCUUACCCUGGAAGAAGAAAAACAGUCUUCUCCUCCGCAGGGUGGGUACAUCAGUGGCUUCCCCGCACUCAUCGGAACGUUGGCUCUCUUGGAUUGGCACCACCAGCCGUGUGUCUUUGCGAUUCUCUGGCUCAGUCGUGCCCUGACUACUACAUAGGGCUCCCGGGCUUCUCUGGGAACCAGCCAUUCGCCUAAGGAGCUUCGAGUCCUUUUAAUAAAUAGAGCCUGGUGUUAAGAAACAAA